AGUUCAUGCAUAUAUUAUGACAACAUUUUGACGUUUUGGUUCAGCUAUUCGAUCACCACACCAUUUUUUUUAUUGAUGAAAGUCAGUAGCUGAAGUAUACGCCCCUUCGUCAAUGAUUGGUCAACAGAACUACUCCUAGUAGGAGUGGGAAUUAUGGAAGGGAUUCUUCAAUUAAGUGUUUGUCGUCAUUCAACGAGAGUGUGUUCACAGCUCUCCCUGCGCUGUGAGUCUUGUGAGCCAGGCUACCAGAGAGCCUGGAGCUAGAGGAUAAGUGCACUAACUCCUGUGCCAUAAAGGCUCGGACCUCUUGGCACCAUUGUCCUAUGGUUUGUGUAGAGCAGCCCUGAGAUGAACUGGGACAACCAGCUGAGCUCCAUCUUCUCAGCAGCUGAUGGCAGCGUGGCCAAGAUGAGGCCCUCCACCGCUGUUCUCCCCCUCCGUGAUGCAGUGGGCAGACCUGGCAGCCGUCCAAUCACAACUGCAGGUCCAGGCCCUAGAGUCUCCGACUCAGUCUUCAUGACAUGGACAGAGGGAGACACUCAGCAGUGCCACAUACAGGCACUACAAGAUGAGAUUCGCUGGCUGUGAGAGCAGGCGAUGGAGAAAGAGCAGGAACGAGAGCGGGAUGGAGAGAGAAGGUCAGGGACAGUGAGUCUGGGAGUGGAGAGGAGGAGAGAGCAAUGGAGGAGAGAGGAGGGCCGUGAGCUCAGCACUUUAAGAAGGCACAUCACCAGAGCCCACUAGAAACGACCUGGGGAAUAGUUACAGCGAAGAGGAGGGGGGAUGAAUCAGCCAAUUGUAAGCUGGGAUGAUUAGGUGGCCAUGAUGGUACAGUAUGAAGACCAGAUUGGGAAUUUAGCCAGGACACCGGGAUUAACACCCCUACUCUUACGAUAAGUGCCAUUGGCACCACUGCCCUGGGGCAUUGGGAUAAAAAAAAGAAUUUGACCAGAGGAAAGGGUGCCUCCUACUGGCCCUCCAACACCACAUCUGAACUGCAAAUGGAGGAGUUGGAUCAUCUGAGGAGAGAGAUGGACCCACUCAAACUCUGCUCUCAGUAUGCGUGUGACAGGGAGGCAUGAGGAGGACAUGUUUCUUCAGCAGUCAGAGGCCAAAGAGAUGAGGGGCCAGUAUGAACGCAGCGGCAAGGGCAUCUGUAUCAGAGCUGAAGGACGAGAUCAGGAGUCUGAUUCUCAAGGAGAGACAACACCGACUUUUACAACACGCACAGCAGGCAAAAUACAAACACACAUACUCACCUGAGUGGUUUAACCCUCUGUUUCUCUUUAACCUGCUUUUUGGCAAUUCAUAUAUGGAGCUACUAAUACAGGGGUGCAAAUUAACUACCAUUCAACUCAACUCAAAUCGAACCACUUGGUUUCAACUAUGACUUUAGUCCCGUUGAUACAGAUGAGUGGCAUGACAACUAACCCCUUGACUUGCUGGUCUGCAACCAACAAAUCUGUAAACUACAGGGCGGUGUCCCAAGCAGGAACUCUAAGUCAGCUAACUUUGAUAAACAUUCAGAAAUAUAAAUAACUAUUGCUAAUUAGUUAAAGGUCAACUUGUAUGUGCUGUUGUGAGUGUUGAGUCAGUUAAACCAUUACUAUUUCUAUCUAUCUACCAGUAUCUUUAUGAAGUCCGAAAUAUGAAGUUAUUUCAGAAUAUUUAGGAGAGUUUUCUGGCUCCCUUUGAUCCUGCAUUGUGACACACACAGCUAGUCUCCCCAAUAAGGUGGGGGUAGGGAAGGAACGUGUAGUGGUGUUCUUCUUUCCUUUGUGUCUCACACACACACACACACACACACACACACACCUCAGUAUUCACCUCCCCUGCACAUGGACAGGGGAGUAUCCUCCAUCACAUCAUCCUAAACAGGGGAAAACGCAACAGGAUAUCAGCAGGAACACGAGUAAACGCUGAACGGUUAGCACUGAUCCAGAUGACAGGCGGCAGGUCCUGGAGCGUGUGGAACUCAGGCCGCUGGUCCCGUCAUUGCAGUUUAAUGAAAUGGAGCAGGGUGACGAUGGCUGCAGUGACGAUGAAGGCUGACACUAGUCCAGCUAGGAGAGGGUCCAGGGCAGGAGCGCCAUUAUGGAACACUGGCUCCCCUGCUGAGCAACAGAGAAGACCUCAGCAAGACUACAAAUUCCGGCAGGCAGCUCCUGCAUGUCAUCUCCAGCCAACACUGUCAGUUACCGUUCACCAGCACGCUAUCAGAGACCUUUUGUGCCCAAUCCAUGAUGAAUCCAUGCGCUGUACUGAAAGUAAUUGAAUAAAGUUUUGAACUUCUUA
rnacentral:lncRNA from 1 species